AACGGAAUGUAUCAAUGAGACCUUGUAUAUGGAUACACGUGCAUUUAAAACCGCCCUGCCGGCUUGUAGAGCUCUUGCCGUUCUCCAGCGCUUUACAGGGGUUAUCGCACUUCAGCCUCGGAACAACUUUACCAGAUGAGGACACCUGAGGCUCAGAUUAAGAAAUCUGCCCCAAAGUCUUAGAACUGUGAUUCUACCAGAAAGGAAUGAAGAACAGAACCUUCAGGAAUUGAGUCACAAUGCAGACAAAUAUCAAAUGGGAGAUUGUUGCAAGGAAGAGAUUGAUGAUAGUAUUUUCUACUAGCCGUUGGGAAGAUAAAAGG